rnacentral:rRNA from 1 species
AGUGAACGCUGGCGGUAGGCCUAACACAUGCAAGUCGAACGGCAGCACAGUAAGAGCUUGCUCUUACGGGUGGCGAGUGGCGGACGGGUGAGGAAUACAUCGGAAUCUACUUUUUCGUGGGGGAUAACGUAGGGAAACUUACGCUAAUACCGCAUACGACCUACGGGUGAAAGCAGGGGAUCUUCGGACCUUGCGCGAUUGAAUGAGCCGAUGUCGGAUUAGCUAGUUGGCGGGGUAAAGGCCCACCAAGGCGACGAUCCGUAGCUGGUCUGAGAGGAUGAUCAGCCACACUGGAACUGAGACACGGUCCAGACUCCUACGGGAGGCAGCAGUGGGGAAUAUUGGACAAUGGGCGCAAGCCUGAUCCAGCCAUACCGCGUGGGUGAAGAAGGCCUUCGGGUUGUAAAGCCCUUUUGUUGGGAAAAAAAAGCAGCAGGUUAAUACCCCGCUGUUCUGACGGUACCCAAAGAAUAAGCACCGGCUAACUUCGU